UCCGAGUUGACCCCGGCAGUCUCCUGCGAGUCCCCGCCAUUACGCGCUGGCAACACAGGACAAGGGUUGCGCUCGUUGCGGGACUUAACCCAACAUCUCACGACACGAGCUGACGACAGCCAUGCAGCACCUGUCUCAUGGUUCCCGAAGGCACCAAGGCAUCUCUGCCAAGUUCCGUGGAUGUCAAGGCCAGGUAAGGUUCUUCGCGUUGCAUCGAAUUAAACCACAUACUCCACCGCUUGUGCGGGCCCCCGUCAAUUCCUUUGAGUUUCAAUCUUGCGAUCGUACUCCCCAGGUGGAUUACUUAAUGCUUUCGCUUAGACGCGUACAGUGUAUCGCACACAUCGAGUAAUCAUCGUUUACGGCGUGGACUAC
rnacentral:misc_RNA from 1 species